AGUGAACGCUGGCGGUAGGCCUAACACAUGCAAGUCGAACGGCAGCACAGUAAGAGCUUGCUCUUACGGGUGGCGAGUGGCGGACGGGUGAGGAAUACAUCGGAAUCUACUUUUUCGUGGGGGAUAACGUAGGGAAACUUACGCUAAUACCGCAUACGACCUACGGGUGAAAGCAGGGGAUCUUCGGACCUUGCGCGAUUGAAUGAGCCGAUGUCGGAUUAGCUAGUUGGCGGGGUAAAGGCCCACCAAGGCGACGAUCCGUAGCUGGUCUGAGAGGAUGAUCAGCCACACUGGAACUGAGACACGGUCCAGACUCCUGCGGGAGGCAGCAGUGGGGAAUAUUGGACAAUGGGCGCAAGCAUGAUACAGCCAUACCGCGUGGGUGAAGAAGGCCUUCGGGUCGUAAAGCCGUUUUGUUGGGAAAGAAAAGCAGCAGGUUAAUACCCCGCUGUUCUGACGGUACCCAAAGAAUAAGCACCGGCUAACUUCGUG
rnacentral:rRNA from 1 species